rnacentral:misc_RNA from 1 species
GAUGAAGAACGUAGUGAAAUGCGAUAAGUAAUGUGAAUUGCAGAAUUCAGUGAAUCAUCGAAUCUUUGAACGCACAUUGCGCCCAUUAGUAUUCUAGUGGGCAUGCCUGUUCGAGCGUCAUUAAUUCCACUUAAGCCCUGCUUAGUGUUGGGAAUCUACUCUAGUGGUGCUACCCUGGAGCUACCCCUGAAAGGGGGCUGGCCCGGUAGUUACCCUGUAGUUCCUCAAAGAUAGUGCGCGGAGUUGCGUGGUCCUCUGAGCUUAGUAACUAUACACCUAGCUUUUGAGUGUCCCGCGGCGCCUGCCGUUUAAACCCCAUCUUUUAAUGGUUGACCUCGGAUCAGGUAGGAAUACCCGCUGAACUUAAGCAUAUCAAUAAGCGGAGGA